AGAGUUUGAUUCUGGCUCAGAACGAACGCUGGCGGCGCGUCUUAAACAUGCAAGUCGAACGAUCUGUAGCAAUACAGGGAGUGGCGGACGGGUGAGGAACACGUAGGAAUCUACCUAGAAGAGCGGGACAACUUUGGGAAACCGGGGCUAAUACCGCAUAGUACAGAGAUGUUAAAGGGCUAGCAAUAGUCGCUUCUAGAUGAGCCUGCGGUCUAUCAGCUUGUUGGUGAGGUAAUGGCUCACCAAGGCAACGACGGAUAGCCGGUCUGAGAGGAUGAUCGGCCACACUGGCACUGAGACACGGGCCAGACUCCUACGGGAGGCAGCAGUUAAGAAUCUUGCGCAAUGGGGGAAACCCUGACGCAGCGACGCCGCGUGAAGGAUGAAGGCUUUCGGGUUGUAAACUUCGGUAGACUGGGAAGAAGAACUACGUUCGUUGAGGGCGUAGAGUGACGGUACCAGUCUGAAGCCCCGGCUAAUUACGUGCCAGCAGCCGCGGUAAUACGUAUGGGGCAAGCGUUGUUCGGAAUUAUUGGGCGUAAAGGGCUCGCAGGUGGUUUGUUAAGUUGGUGGUUUAAUCUCUGGGCUCAACCCAGAGUCAGCCUCCAAAACUGGCGAACUUGAGUACGAUAGGGGAUAGCGGAAUUCUCGGUGUAGCGGUGGAAUGCGUAGAUAUCGAGAGGAACACCAAUGGCGAAGGCAGCUAUCUGGAUCGUAACUGACACUCAUGAGCGAAAGUGCGGGGAGCAAACAGGAUUAGAUACCCUGGUAGUCCGCACCGUAAACGUUGUAUACUAGUUGUUGGUGGUUUCAACGCCAUCAGUGACGUCGCUAACGCAUUAAGUAUACCGCCUGGGGAGUAUGCUCGCAAGGGUGAAACUCAAAGAAAUUGACGGGGGCCCGCACAAGCGGUGGAGCAUGUGGUUUAAUU
rnacentral:rRNA from 1 species